GACAGAGGGUGCAAACGUUGUUCGGAAUUACUGGGCGUAAAGCGCACGUAGGCGGCUAUUCAAGUCGGGGGGUGAAAGCCCGGGGCUCAACCCCGGAACUGCCCUCGAAACUAGAUAGCUAGAAUCUUGGAGAGGCGAGUGGAAUUCCGAGUGUAGAGGUGAAAUUCGUAGAUAUCGGGAAGAACACCCGUGGCGAAGGCGGCUCUCUGGGACGGUACUGACGCUGAGACGCGAAAGCGUGGGGGAGCGAACAGG
rnacentral:rRNA from 1 species